UCGUCGAUGAUCUGCGGGCAGAUGAAAUGCACGUGCGAGUCGAUGCCGCCCGCCGUGACGAUCUUGCCUUCCCCCGCGAUGAUCUCGGUGCCGGGGCCGAUCACGAUGGUCACGCCUGGCUGGAUGUCCGGAUUGCCCGCUUUGCCGAUGGCCUGGAUGCGGCCGUCCUUCAGGCCGAUGUCGGCCUUGACGAUGCCCCAAUGGUCCAGGAUGACCGCAUUGGUGAUCACCGUGUCGGCGACUUCGGCACCGCGCCGUUGGGAUUGGCCCAUGCCGUCGCGGAUGA
rnacentral:sRNA from 1 species